AGGACGAACGCUGGCGGCGUGCUUAACACAUGCAAGUCGAGCGGAAAGGCCCUUCGGGGUACUCGAGCGGCGAACGGGUGAGUAACACGUGAGUAAUCUGCCCCUAGCUCUGGGAUAGCUCCGGGAAACCGGGAUUAAUACUGGAUACGACCACCUUAGACAUCUUUUGUGGUGGAAAGAAUUUCGGCUAGGGAUGAGCUCGCGGCCUAUCAGCUUGUUGGUGGGUAACGCCUACCAAGGCGACGACGGGUA
rnacentral:rRNA from 1 species